GCCUUUAUCAGUCCUGGGUGUUGUCAUUGUAAGGGAGGCAAACCCAGCUUGGGUGUCUUUUUCAAUUGAGUGAAAAUAGGGUUCUUCCAAAUACUAGGCACGUUAAAGUGUUUCCUAUAGCGGACACGUGCGGCUUCCUGCUCCUCCUGCGGCUGUUUCUCCUCCCUUCCCAGAUGAUCUGUAACCUUCUGGGUGGUGUUUGUAUCUAGUAGUUUCAACUGAAUAGCAUAUGCCUUUCACUCUUUAAGUGGUAGGAGGUUCCUCCCUCCAGAAGUGUUGUAAACUGGCCUUUAUAAAGUCCACAAAUAAGGGCUUUGAGGUUAAGAUCUGGCUUGGUGUCUAAUUGUUAUUAAAAUUUGUCAAGAUAGCUGCCAAGAAUAGUCUUACGUUAGUUCAGUAAUGUAUGUAGUUUUAUAAUUAUGUUACCAAGAGAGGUUUAUAUUAUAUAAUUUUCUAACUUUUUUUAUGUUCGAUACUUGUGAACAUGUGUGAUUUUGUUUUCUUUUUACCUAGGUCACCAUUUUAAGGCCCACAAGGCUGUUUUGGCUGCUUGUAGUAAGUUCUUCUACAAAUUCUUUCAGGAGUUUACUCAGGAACCUUUGGUGGAAAUAGAAGGUGUUAGUAAGAUGGCCUUUAGUCACUUAAUUGAGUUCACAUACACAGCAAAAUUAAUGAUCCAAGGAGAAGAAGAAGCCAACGAUGUGUGGAAAGCAGCAGAGUUUCUACAGAUGCUGGAAGCCAUCAAAGCUCUAGAAGUCAGGAACAAAGAAAACUCCGCUCCACUAGAUGAAAAUAGCACAGGAAAGAGUGAGGCCAAAAAAAGAAAGAUUGCAGAAACUUCCAAUGUUAUCACUGAGUCGUUGCCAUCCGUGGAGUCAGAACCUGUUGAAAUUGAGGUGGAGAUUGCCGAAGGCACAAUCGAGGUGGAAGACGAAGGCAUUGAAACCUUAGAGGAUGUGGCUUCAGCCAAGCAGUCCAUCAAGUACAUUCAGAGCACGGGCUCCUCUGAUGACUCCGCCCUGGCACUGUUGGCAGACAUUACCAGCAAGUACCGUCAAGGUGACGGGAAAGGGCAGCUCAAAGAAGAUGGCUGUGCGUCUGACCCCACAAGCAAACAGGUAGAAGGAACACAUGAAAUCACACUCCACUGAGAGUUUCAAGUGUGAAAUAUGCAAUAAAAGGUAUCUUCGGGAGAGCGCGUGGAAACAGCACCUCAGUUGUUACCACCUCGAAGAAGGUGGGGUCAAUAAGAAGCAAAGAACUGGGAAAAAAAUUCACAUAUGUCAGUACUGUGAGAAACAGUUUGACCACUUUGGACAUUUUAAAGAGCAUCUUCGAAAACACACAGGUGAAAAACCUUUUGAAUGUCCAAAUUGUCACGAGCGAUUUGCUAGAAAUAGCACCCUCAAAUGUCACCUGACUGCAUGCCAAACUGGAGUGGGGGCAAAGAAGGGAAGAAAGAAGCUUUAUGAGUGUCAGGUCUGUAACAGUGUGUUUAACAGCUGGGACCAGUUCAAAGAUCACUUGGUGAUACACACUGGAGACAAACCCAACCAUUGUACUUUGUGUGACUUGUGGUUUAUGCAAGGAAAUGAAUUAAGAAGGCAUCUCAGAGAUACUCAUAAUAUUUCUGAGCGUCUGGUAGCCGAAGAAGUUCUUUCUGUGGAAACGCGUGUGAAAGCGGAACCUGUGACGUCCAUGACGAUCAUAGAGCAAGUCGGGAAGGUGCAUGUGCUACCCCUGCUUCAGGUCCAGGUGGACUCAGCCCAGGUGACGGUGGAACAGCUCCAUCCGGAUCUGCUCCAGGACGGCCAAGUGCACGACUCCCAGCUGAGCGAGCUCCCGGAGCAGGUCCAGGUGAGUUACCUAGAAGUGGGUCGCAUUCAGACUGAAGAAGGUACCGAGGUGCACGUGGAGGAGCUGCACGUGGAGCGGGUCAGCCAGGUGCCCCUGGAAGUCCACACCGAGCUGCUCGAAGCAGACUUGGAUCAAGUGGCCCCUGACAUCGUGAAGCGGGAGGAGGGGGAGCGCAGCCAAGGAGACGCCGCCCAGGCUGCCGAGGCUGCCGGGGAAGCUCACGAAGACUCUGGGGAGUUAGAGACCAAACCAGCAGUGGACUCUCCGGCGGAAAGCGCAGGAACCGAGAACAGAGCACCGGUGCCGGUUUUAGAAUGAAACAAGUGAACCGGUUUUUAAAUUGAUGUGUUGGGUGUUUGAACUGAUGCUGGGCAGUGUGACUGCCCCGGAGCUAACAGACAAGUGGACCAAAGUUAAACUCUCCCUUCUUGUGCUGAACUGUUUCUGUUGAACGGACUGAUUCCCUCCCUUCUUAUGCCACAGAGAAGGGGUGUUUCCCCCCUGUGAGUGGGACGUUUUGAGAAGUAUAUUUCUGGAAACUUUAAAUGGAUUAUAUUCUUCUAUAGUUGGGUACGAAUGUAUCUAUUUUCAUUGUGGUAAGGGUCCUCCCUUCUCUUUCCCAGGUUGUGUUCUUCCUCAAAGUUUUUCUGUAUUGUGAAAUCAAAGUCAUUAGAAUACAAGCGGGCGUGUUCUAAUGCAUGCUAGAAAACAGUGUGUAGAAACCGGCUGCAUGAAGAAAAGUGCAUUGUUACUGUGCAGUUACGUUUGGCUUCCGCCUUUCUUUAGUUUGAGCAGUGUUCUUGUCUACCGGUAGUCACGGAUGCAUCCUGCAAUGGAAACAGAGUGGUGGUCACAAAUGUCCAGAAUGUUAAAAAAAUCCACACCCACGUGCCUUUUCAAACCAACUGAACUUCUAUAAAGCAUCUCGGGUUCUUUCAAAGUUUGUUGUGAGGAGCAAUGUAGGUGAUGCUACAUAGUACUUGGUAUUUUUCCUUAUAAUGACAGCUCCCAGUUCUUUUUCACUUAAGUUAGGUUGAGAAAUUUCAUUUAAUGGCAGCUGAAGGGCCAUUUUCAAUUGGGAAAAUUCAUUUAUAUCUGUGGUAAACUUUAUUUUGAUGAAAAAUUGCACUAGUAUUUUACCACCAGAUUAAAAAAAGAAGAUGAGCAUCAUUUAAAAAUUAAUGUAUUUAAAGUACAGAGAAAAACAUGUAUAUAAUAUAUCAGGCUUUGUUUUGAAUGAAUCUUUUCCCCCAAUCCUUAAUGUAAAGAUCUUGUGCUAUAACUUUUAAAGCCAUACAAAUAAGAGUGCUAAACUGUGGACUUCGAAGUAGUGUGUAAAUAUUUUUAAUCAGUAUUACUUGGAAAAUAAAAUAUAACAACCACAUAAAAUAAA